UUUCCGUAGGUGAACCUGCGGAAGGAUCAUUAUUGUAUAACCGAGGUGCGAGGGCUGUCGCUGACCCGAAAGGUCGUGCACGCCCGAGUGCCCUCACACACAUCCAUCUCACCCCUAUGUGCACCACCGCGCGGGUCCCCCUUUGGCUUGUUCGGAGGGGGGCUUACGUUUUCACACAAACUUUGUAUGCAGUGUAGAAUGUAUUUUUUGUUUUUGCGAUCACGCAAUCAAUACAACUUUCAACAACGGAUCUCUUGGCUCUC
rnacentral:misc_RNA from 1 species